UUCGCCUGGGGAGUACGGUCGCAAGACUGAAACUCAAAGGAAUUGGCGGGGAUCUACACAAAUGGUGGAGCAUGUGGUUUAAUGCGAUAAUCCGCGCGAAACCUUACCAACUUUUGCAUACUAGGUUUAUUUUUAUUAAGUUAAAAAUUAUUUAAGUAUAUAAAAAUUUGUUUAUAUAUAAAUAAAGCUAAUACAGGUGUUGCAUGGCUGUCGUCAGUUCGUGCCGUGAGGUGUCGGGUUAAUUUCUUGAACGAGCGAAACUCUUAUUUUAUAUUGAUACAUUUAAUUAGAAAUAAUUAAAUAUCUACUUAUAAAAAACUGCUUUUUUAAUUUAGAGGAAGGUGAGAAUGACGUCAAGUCCUUAUGGCCCUUAUAGGUUGGGCUACACAUGUGCUACAAUGAUUAGUUCAAAAAGUUGUACAAUAAAGUAAUUUAAAGUCAAUCUUUAACCCUUUUCGUGUUCGGAUUGUUGGCUGCAACUCGCCAACAUGAAGGUGGAAUCAUGAGUAAUCGUAUAUCAGCAUGCUACGGUGAACCGAUACUUAGAUCUUGCACACACCGCCCGUCACGUGCUGGGAGUAAGUUUCGUUUUAAGCUUUUAGAAGUUUAUAAUUUUAUUUCUUUUUUUUUUUAGUAAUAAAAAAAUUUAAUUUUUAAAUUAUAAAUGUAUAAAUGUCAUUAUGGAAUUUGUAACCGGGAUGAAGUCGUAACAAGGUAGUCGUACGG
rnacentral:rRNA from 1 species